rnacentral:snoRNA from 1 species
GUAUUCGAGGAUGAGCAAAUAUUUUCGAUCUUCUGAGGGUGGUGAACUUUAUUCCACUCAUGCGGAAUCAAUCUUGGAGACCUGAACUGAGAAUAC